rnacentral:tRNA from 1 species
GCCUGGGUGGCUCAGUCGGUUAAGCGUCCGACUUCAGCUCGGGUCCUGAUUUCACAGUUCGUGAGUUCGAGCCCCGCGUCGGGCU